UACGGGGGGGGCAAGCGUUGUUCGGAAUUACUGGGCGUAAAGGGCUCGUAGGCGGCCAACUAAGUCAGAUGUGAAAUCCCCAGGCUUAACCUGGGAACUGCAUCUGAUACUGGAUGGCUUGAAUCCGGGAGAGGGAUGCAGAAUUCCAGGUGUAGCGGUGAAAUGCGCAGAUAUCGGGAGGAACACCUAUGGCGAAGGCAGCUCGCUGGGACGUUACUGACGCUGAGACGCGAAAGCGUGGGGAGCAAACAGG
rnacentral:rRNA from 1 species